GUGGGUGUAGCUCAGUUGGUAGAGUCCCGGAUUGUGAUUCCGGUUGUCGUCGGUUCGAGUCCGACCCCCCACCCCA
rnacentral:tRNA from 5 species